UUUACCGAAAAGAAUAUUAACAUUAAAUAAAAAUUAAAAUUAGCAAUAAUGAAAGAAAUCAAAUUACUACUAUAUAGAGAGGGAGCAUGCGGACGAUCAGGGGUAAUUCAGUCAUUUCACGCAGUCAUCACUUUAUCUCUAGAAGCAUCCCUAUCCUUAACUCUUAUUCCAACUUCUAACUUAACACAGAACACAUUCCGUGCUUUUUACAAGCAGACCACUUAGAGUUGUUCUGUCAUUCUUUGAAUCCAGGAAUAGCAAGGCUGCAAGAAUGGUCCAGUGUAAGCUGAUUAUUUGCUGUAGAAGAGUGAAGAGGUGGGGCAACCAAGGACAUUUCGAUCAAAUUAAUAUUCAUUUUCUUUCUGACGGUUCCAGCAUGACCUCUUUCAGUAUCAUCGAAGUCGGCGACUACACUACUACAAUCGAAAAUAAUAGUACAUAAAAAAGAGAUUCAUUUCUGACACGGUGUUUCAUACGUUGUUCUCUGGAGAGAUUUUAAUUGGUAUGCGGCUGUUGAGAAUAGUGGUUACGCAAGGUUGCCAUGCCAUCGUCCCUAUCAUUUGGAUGAUUCAAUAUUGCAGACUUCCAAUAUUGAUUCAAUGCAUAAGGUAAUUAGUGUCUGUUACAUGCUAUUUGUAGUGCACUGAACCUAAGUUCAGAAACAUCAGCUGCUUCAUCUCUUCACUCUUUUAGUUCUUCUUCUUGCAACUUCCAAUUUCACGUCCAAUGGGUCAUAUUUUCAGUUGUGUAAAAUAAAGAGCAAAGUUAGAACUAGAAAUGAAGAAGAUUUUCAUGAGACGUUGGUCAAAUUUUCUUCUCUUUGGAAUUAGCUGAUUUUGAGCUAA